UAUUCUUGUACAUCGGUGAGGGGAGGAGAGUGAGCAUAAUACUUAUAUUCUUGUACAUUGGAGGCAGUAUUAUAAUAGUUAUAUUCUUUUACAAGGAGCAGUAUUAUAGUAGUUAUAUUUUUAUACAUAGAGGCAGUAUUAUAGUAGUUAUA